GGGUGUAAAGGUGAUUUGGGUGCAACAACUGUCACCCCAUUUAUCAACAGGGUUGAUUCAGCUGAUCUGGCUGGCUAGGUGAGUGUUCCCUUUCUCCCUCGUGGUUCCAGGUGUGUCCUUCCGAAGGCUGUGGUUGAGCAGGAAAACCACCUCUGAUAGAGGAGGACUGUUUCCUCACUCAAGAGUAUACAAGUAGCUUCGCUCCCCUGCUAGAAUCUCCAAAUAAGCUCCCAAUGACUUCUGCAUUGCAGGCUACAGUUAGAGGAUUCCAGUGCAGUGCCCAGCAUAUUAUCAGAGUAUUUAAUCAGAUACCAUUUCAAGAAGGGGUUGAUUAUUU
rnacentral:snRNA from 1 species